UGUCCACACCAACCAGUGGGCUACCAAUUUAUUGAUGUAAUGGUAAACAUGAACGGGAUGGAAACAACAACGUAUACAUAUAGCCCUAAAUAUCAGAAUAUAGAGAUUUUCAGCUAUAUUGGUGGCUACGUUGGAAUGUGGCUUGGAAUCUCACUGGUUGCUGUAUUCGAUUUCUUAGAGACAGUUAUACUUAUCAUGAGCUAUCCUGUCAAGAGUUAUAAGAAAGCAAGAAAAAGAAACAGGAGGAUAGAGGACAUAAAAAUGCUUAGAAGGGAUUUGUAAAAACAAUUAAUGCCUUUUUAAGACAUUAAACUUUGUUUUAAGUAUUGUUAAAGCUUAAAAUUAUGUAUGCAAUAAAUUAUGUAUACUAUA